rnacentral:rRNA from 1 species
UACGGGAUAAUAUAUUUGAGAGGCAUCUCUUGAAUAUCAAAGGUGAGCCAGUACAGGAUGGACCCGCGUCUGAUUAGCUAGUUGGUAAGGUAACGGCUUACCAAGGCGACGAUCAGUAGCCGACCUGAGAGGGUGAUCGGCCACAUUGGAACUGAGACACGGUCCAAACUCCUACGGGAGGCAGCAGUGGGGAAUAUUGCACAAUGGGCGAAAGCCUGAUGCAGCAACGCCGCGUGAGUGAUGAAGGCCUUCGGGUCGUAAAACUCUGUCCUCAAGGAAGAUAAUGACGGUACUUGAGGAGGAAGCCCCGGCUAACUACGUGCCAGCAGCCGCGGUAAUACGUAGGGGGCUAGCGUUAUCCGGAUUUACUGGGCGUAAAGGGUGCGUAGGCGGUCUUUCAAGUCAGGAGUGAAAGGCUACGGCUCAACCGUAGUAAGCUCUUGAAACUGGGAGACUUGAGUGCAGGAGAGGAGAGUGGAAUUCCUAGUGUAGCGGUGAAAUGCGUAGAUAUUAGGAGGAACACCAGUUGCGAAGGCGGCUCUCUGGACUGUAACUGACGCUGAGGCACGAAAGCGUGGGGAGCAAACAGGAUUAGAUACCCUGGUAGUCCACGCUGUAAACGAUGAGUACUAGGUGUCGGGGGUUACCCCC